rnacentral:tRNA from 1 species
GGGGAGAUAUCAAAGCGGCCAACUGGGGCAGACUGUAAAUCUGCUGUCUUAUGACUUCAUAGGUUCGAAUCCUAUUCUCCCCA